UACGUAGGUGGCAAGCGUUGUCCGGAUUUACUGGGCGUAAAGAGCGCGCAGGCGGUCGUUCAAGUCGCGUGUGAAAGCCCCCGGCUCAACUGGGGAGGGUCACGCGAUACUGAUCGACUGGAAGGCAGGAGAGGGUAGUGGAAUUCCCGGUGUAGUGGUGAAAUGCGUAGAUAUCGGGGGAACACCGAUGGCGAAGGCAAUCCCCUGGACCUGUACUGACGCUCAUGCACGAAAGCGUGGGGAGCAAACAGG
rnacentral:rRNA from 1 species